UNUGAAGUUAAAGGCUGUGGCUUAACCAUAGUACGCUUUGGAANCUGUUUAACUUGAGUGCAAGAGGGGAGAGUGGAAUUCCAUGUGUAGCGGUGAAAUGCGUAGAUAUAUGGAGGAACACCGGUGGCGAAAGCGGCUCUCUGGCUUGUAACUGACGCUGAGGCUCGAAAGCGUGGGGAGCAANCAGGAUUAGAUACCCUGGUAGUNCACGCCGUAAACGAUGAGUGCUAGGUGUUAGACCCUUUCCGGGGUUUAGUGCCGCAGCUAACGCACUAAGCACUCCGCCUGGGGAGUACGACCGCAAGGUUGAAACUCAAAGGAAUUGACGGGGGCCCGCACAAGCGGUGGAGCAUGUGGUUUAAUUCGAAGCAACGCGAAGAACCUUACCAGGUCUUGACAUCCCUCUGACCGCUCUAGAGAUAGAGUUUUCCUUCGGGACAGAGGUGACAGGUGGUGCAUGGUUGUCGUCAGCUCGUGUCGUGAGAUGUUGGGUCAAGUCCCGCAACGAGCGCAACCCCUAUUGUUAGUUGCCAUCAUUUAGUUGGGCACUCUAGCGAGACUGCCGGUAAUAAACCGGAGGAAGGUGGGGAUGACGUCAAAUCAUCAUGCCCCUUAUGACCUGGGCUACACACGUGCUACAAUGGCUGGUACAACGAGUCGCAAGCCGGUGACGGCAAGCUAAUCUCUUAAAGCCAGUCUCAGUUCGGAUUGUAGGCUGCAACUCGCCUACAUGAAGUCGGAAUCGCUAGUAAUCGCGGAUCAGCACGCCGCGGUGAAUACGUUCCCGGGCCUUGUACACACCGCCCGUCACACCACGAGAGUUUGUAACACCCGGAGUCGGUGAGGUAACCUUUUAGGAGCCA
rnacentral:rRNA from 1 species